CCCCUCUCAGGGUCGCACCUGGAGAGUUUCCAGUACUCUACCGGUCUCGACUACAGGAGGGAGAGUCAAGCAGAGGCAUACCCAUUCUAUUUCUAGUUUGGGCAGUGGCUAGCGAGUAGAAGAUGAUCUUCUAAAAGU
rfam:Ornithorhynchus anatinus chromosome 5, whole genome shotgun sequence.